rnacentral:rRNA from 1 species
UAGACUCUCGGCAAUGGAUUUUUUGGUUUUUGCAUCGAUGAAAAGCCCACCGAAAUGCGAUCCGUGGUGCAAAUUGCAAAAUCCCGUGACCCAUCGAGUUUUUGAACGCAAGUUGCGCCUGAGGCCAACUGGCCGAGGGCACGUCCGCCUGGGCGUAAUGC